AUCCUCAGGUUCAUAAGCGUAAUGAUUGGGUGUUCAUGCUGCAUGCAUGACAUGUACCUCCUUUGAACCUUAUUGCAACAUUGGCACAUUACCCAUCUGACA
rnacentral:snoRNA from 1 species